GCCGCUAUAGCUCAGCUGGUAGAGCAAACGCUUCGUAAGCGUUGGGUCCCCGGUUCGAUUCCGGGUAGCGGCU
rnacentral:tRNA from 1 species